rnacentral:rRNA from 1 species
GACGAACGCUGGCGGCGGGCUUAACACAUGCAAGUCGAACGGAAAGGCCCUGCUUUCGUGGGGUGCUGGAGUGGCGAAGGGGGGAGUAACACGUGAGUAACCUGCCCUUGAUUUUGGGAUAACUUCAGGAAACUGGGGCUAAUACCGGAUAGGAGCUCCCGCUGCAUGGUGGGGGUGGGAAAGUUUCGGCGGUUGGGGAUGGACUCGCGGCUUAUCAGUUUGUUGGUGGGGUAGUGGCUGACCAAAGCUUUGACGGGUAGCCGGCCUGGGAGGGGGACCGGGCACAUUGCGACUGAGAUACGGCCCAGUCUCCAACAGGAGGCAAUGGUGGGGAGUAUUACCCAGUGAGCCGGAGCCUGAUGCGAAGGCGCCGCGUGCGGAAUGACGGCCUGCGGGUUGUGAACCGCAGUCGCCUAUGACGAAGCGUGAGUGACGGUAAUGGGUGAAGAAGCACCGGCUAACUACGUG